AUGGCUUUGGCUUGCGGGGUUAACAGGAGUAGACUGGGAGGUUAUCUGGAUUGAUAGAGCCAACAUCUCAAGAAUGGAACCAAACAAAAGGAAAAAAGGAAAAGGAAGGAAGAAUCUUACAGCGCCUUUAAUGUUGAAAUUUAAAGUUCAAAGCGGAGUAGUACUUCCAAAUGGUCUACAUUCUGAAUAAGAAGACUGCAGCUAUAUGUUUUCAUCAACACAGUGGAGAAAAAGGCUGUUUAUUUUAUCUUUCAUUCCAACCAAACUGGAGACAAGGUUCA